CUCGAAGAGGGAAAUUUAACUCCGAUGUGCAGCAGGGUGAGUUGAUUUUAAAAUCUUUAGAUGAUAUCCAGCCUAAGUGUUUUCCAUUUUCAAUUUUAGUACAAAACGCCGAAGGAAAAGGCGGUUUUGCAGAAUACUUCUGCGCGUCAUCCUACGGAGGACGAUCCUGACGCUCAAGGAUCGUAUACAACUGAUCGAGCCUCAUCUGGACCAGAUAUGGAUAUCACGUUCGACGGAUAGGAAGAAACAAGCCAUGAUCAACGUCCCGCUGGAAACUCUUGGUGGCAAGGAAAAGCUACUGGGAUUUUACAUAAACGGACUUUUCAUGCCCCGACGUGUGUCCCAAUCUGGCUCUGUGAAAAUGGUCUGCUAAAAGUCAGAAUCAAACUAAACAGUGACGCCUAGGAGAAACUUCCCACCUGCCGAUUGUCAAGGCGCCCGCCUUUUGCUCAAGUCUGACCGACCGUAAUUCUUUGAGCUGAAGCUGCGCCCGACGUCCGGCCGCGCCGGAUGUACGUCAACUGAUUGGCUCUAAGUGCUGAUCCUAACGGCAGCGGCUCUGAUGCCUGAUGCACGUUCAUCAUGACCACGAACCACCUGCUUACGCUGCGCAAAUACAUUAGGGACGAAAUUAACCAAGAUUGUUAUCCACAUUACUCCUACAUCUUAGUGUGAAUUAAUUGUAGGUUCAAAAACGAAAAUAAAAGCAUUUUUUGCGAAUAAACUGUUUUCUGAUAUUAUUUACCAUUCCGAAAUUGUUUUGAGCUAUAACGGUCAAUUUGAAAAGCAAACUAUCGACGCUAUAUCGAUACUUUGCAAAUUGCAUACAUUUCGGCGCAUUCAGACCAAGAUAGUUAUGUUGACGAAAUCGACAACAUUUUUUAUCGAUAUCGUUGCAAAUGUUACCGGACGACUGGUCGAAAACAUUCUGAAACGAAUUUUAGAACGAAUCGACAACAAUGUUGUCGAUUUCGCGGACAGGAUUUCUAUCC